UGUGGGUUUAACAAGUGUUAUAUCUCAGAUGGAGAACUGUAGAUUCACUUAUUAUUGUGAUUAUAAUAAUGAGAAUUGAGAAUAUAAAGGAAGGAGGCCGAAUCUGGAUUUUGUUUUAAAACUGAAAAGAAGUGUAGUGAAGAAAUGGAAGUAGUAGAAGGAAGCAGAGAGAGUGGAUGGGUUUGGAUUCUGAUGUUGAAGACGCGGUUUUGUUGCAUUAGCUCUGUUCUUUUACAAGACGCUGCGUCAGCGG
rnacentral:lncRNA from 1 species